rnacentral:rRNA from 1 species
GAUGAACGCUGGCGGCGUGCCUAACACAUGCAAGUCGAGCGAACAGAUGAGGAGUUUGCUCCUCUGACGUUAGCGGCGGACGGGUGAGUAACAUGUGGAUAACCUACCUAUAAGACUGGGAUAACUUCGGGAAACCGGAGCUAAUACCGGAUAAUAUAUUGAACCGCAGGGUUCAAUAGUGAAAUACGGCUUUGCUGUCACUUAUAGAUGGAUCCGCGCCGCAUUAGCUAGUUGGUAAGGUAACGGCUUACCAAGGCAACGAUGCGUAGCCGACCUGAGAGGGUGAUCGGCCACACUGGAACUGAGACACGGUCCAGACUCCUACGGGAGGCAGCAGUAGGGAAUCUUGCGCAAUGGGCGAAAGCCUGACGGAGCAACGCCGCGUGAGUGAUGAAGGUCUUCGGGUCGUAAAGCUCUGUUAUUAGGGAAGAACAAAUGUGUAAGUAUCUAGGCGCGUCUUGACGGUACCUGAUCAGAAAGCCACGGCUAACUACGUG